rnacentral:tRNA from 1 species
AGUGUUAUGUCUGAUUAAAGUAAUAAAUUGUAAAUUUAUUUAAGAAAUAAAAUUUUCUAACAUUA